CGGGAGCGCCGCGCCAGCCGCCGGGCGCACGGAGCGGCCACCAUCUUCGCUGCCGCCGCGCUCCCGAGAGCCGCCGCAUCCGCCGCCGCACGGAGUUUUCAGCCGGGCAGAGCCAGACGUCAGCAGGAGGAGGGCGGAGGCUGGCACUCUCACCGGUCUACACGUCAAAUCUGAAAGAGCGAAACAGAGAAGGGAAUUACUGUUCAAGAGGCUGAUAAGAACUUCACCAUCUCAGACUGCAGUUCAGUGUCUGCUCUGCAACAAGCUCCCAACUUGUGCCUUUUUGUUUUUAAACACUGGAUCUUGCUAUAUGUUAAAGGCUGAAACUCCUCAGACCUGCAAGCUCGAAAUGAACAUAAAGCUGAAGUUCGCAGCAGAGAUACAUCCCGGCUUGCAGCCAAACACUAAGGGUGAUCAGUCAAGGGUACGGGACACGGAGAGCAGAACGCUGUUCCCAUAGCCAGUGCCGCAAAAAUCAAUGCAUGUGAUAUGGGAAUCCGUGUACUGAGGCCGGUGGAUUGAGAAUAUCAUUGGGCUGCCCUACAACAUAUGGACUGAGAACAAAGUGAAGUCACGGAGCUGAGCAUCAAGAACUCACUUGAAAUGGGAGUGAUGGCGAACAACACACAAACCAACAAGAACGACAACAACAACAGAUCUGAAGGAAGAAAUGCAUUAAAAAUUGGGUAAAAUUAUCCCUUGAGCAAUGCUGGAUGACACCCAGACUAAACAUCACUGAACAGCGGAGCUGUUCCAGUUUGUGCCACGGGAACGUCAAAAUACUUCCUUCUCCUCCGUAAACAUCCUGUAGUUCUUUCUGGAAAACGGAAGAGUACCACAUGUGACAAGUGUUCUUAAGCAGCAUGCUGAGCACCAAAUGUGAACUAUAAUUCAUAAAUCAUGCUCGUAAUUUAUAAGGAAUGGCUCUGUUAACGCUUCUGCUAACUAGCUAACCUGUUUUGAGAGAUGCAGCCAGAACGUGAGUUGCUGUGGUGACUGUCACUGCGGGCACCGCGGCAGCUGGCACAGACAACGGCCUUUCCUCAAUGAGGAGAAAACAAUUCUCAGAAUGGCGAAAGGCUGAGGAAAGCCCUCGAUGAGAAGCAGAAAUGAAAGUAUGUGAGGGUGGAGAACAUCAUCUUCUCUCAUGUAAACCCCACUGAAAACCACCAAAGGAAGCCUAUGUCAUCUCUCAACCUUAGUUCAGCAAAUGAGCAACUUCCAAGGGAUACAACUGAAAGAGGAGAGACAUGGUAUCUCCAGAUAUGCUGGAGUUAUUCUUGCACGACAGCCAGAGAGCAAACCCUCUUCAUUCAGGGCAAGCAGCUUCACCUUCAUGCGCUGGUGUUUUUGAUCAUCAGAAGGAAGAGUUAAAGACAAACCGGCUUGUUACUCAAUUCAGAGUCUGACAAAGAGAAAAGUUAGAAUCAUUAUGGCCACAUGCACAGUUGAUGGACCUGGAAUCAUCCUCUGUGCCCCAAGACAUGUUUAUGGCUAUUAGAAAGCUGGACUGCAUGGUUCACAGUUUCUCAGUUGGCAAGAAAGGCAGAGAUUUAAUGAAACCUUGAAAUCCUCUGGCCUAAUUUGUGUCAGGCUUCUAUCAGAGAUACGUGCAGAUAUUUUCAACUGCCCAGCACACAUUCAAAUAAAUGUGCUAAAUACAGAUAUAUAUAUAGAAGUACCACAAUGAGAGAGGAGAAUUACAUACAAAAGUCUCUUGCGUAUUUCUACCAAUAGAAUUCAGUUUAUUCAUCCCUGCCAAUUAAAACUAAGGGGCAAUAUGGAAUAUAUUUCUCAGACUCUUUGGCAAUACCAUUUCAGAAGUCUCCUGCAGCCCUCAGUAUUUCAGGGCUCUCCAGCCAGGAGCGGUUCAGCUGAUUGUAUUCCCACCUGCCAGAAUUUGGGGUGUUUUCUUUACUUUUUCCUACUUUCCCACCUUCUCCUUUUUAACACCCAUUUUCCAUCUCAAGCCAGUAAAACCUGCCGUGGAAAGCUGAGCUCAGCAUCAGUCCAGCGCCACUCUAGGAAAACUUCUGGGAAAAUCUCUUGGAAAGCUAUUAAAACAGUCAGCGAGGCACUUUCCUCCCUUGAACACGGAUUCCUGGCUGCUGGAAAAAACCCGCCAGAGCCCCAAAACCCGCCGGAGCCCCAAAAGCCCCAAAACCCGCCGGAGCCUCCGGCCUCGCGCCGCCAGGUGGCGCCGCAGCAUCGGCUUCGGGGGCGACGCGGGGACCGGGGGGACCCGGGGGGGACAACGCGGGGACCAGGGGGAACCGGGGGGGCUCGGGGAGACCCCGAGGCUCCGACACCUCUCAGGAAUGCGCCCCCAGCCUGUGCCGGCGCUUCACCCAGAACCAGGCACCGGUCGCUGGUAUUCAGGCUCAUUCUGCUCCCCAAACCUGCGAGGGAAGCGAAAAGGAAGGAGCCAAGGGGGAACCAGCCCGGACACGGGCACGUUUGAACCUUCCGAAAGCACCUGGUUGCACGGAGGGACUGUCACCAAGGCUGACAGGUGACACCCGAGGCUGCCGUGUGCCCUGAAGCGGAGCCACCGUCCUUGGGCUGGGACCUUGUGGUUCAAAGAGGAGCGCAAGGAGACACCAGUGCUGGGCAGAGGAACAGCCCAAAGCCCAGCAAGGGUAUUUAUUGAAUCUGGCUCCAAGGCAGCAGCUGUGCCCGUGCUCCCCGCCGUGCUGGUGUCCCCUGCACCUGGCUGAACUCCCAGAUCUUCAGCGAGGUGCAGGUCACACCAAGCACUGAACACGUGCAGGGCUGUUUUACGAGAUUAGAGCUUAAAGGGGAAUAGACGGAGGCUGAAGCAGUUCGGUUUGGUACUUCUCUUACAUCCCAGUUCGGCAGCAAAGUCGAGCGAGGCAGAACGUGGCACUAAGGUCCCUGUGCUGCUGGAGGCCUCUGAGCACCCAGGUGGUGGGCGAGCAGGGUGCAGCACUCCUCCUCUGCAAUGCUCAGGAAAAGCUGCUUUCUGCCCCCUUCAAACAGUGAUUCUCAGCAGCAACAAUACCGAGUGGUUUCUAUGGGGUCCGCAGUGGGCUGGCGGCUGCAGCAGCAGGUUAACCUCAGGAGGAACGGGGUGUGAUAGAAAGGGGCACUUUUCUGGUCUGAUGCCUCUGCAAAGAGUCCCUCUCCAUGUACUGGGCUGAGCUGGGCUAUAUCAACAUGUGAGAGAGAUGGAAAAGCAGGUCUAUUCACUUUUAUGUGAUGACAACCAGAUGCUACGGUAGAACUUGGCCUAGAGAUGGCUGGAAACGGGCUGUCUGCUCGGGGAACGCGGUCGGUCCAUCCACACGCAGCAAGGAACUGCUGGUGAAACUUCAUUGCUUAAGGAGGGUGGGGCGCUGGUCUUUCAUCUGACAGAGGGGAAAAUAAAAAAUAGAUGGAAACAGCCUUAACCACCACUGAUUCACAUGAUAUUGCACCAAACCGCAAAGAGAGGUAAAUUUUGGACUGCUAUUUUGAGAGCUCUUAUUAAUCUUCAGCACAGCAGAGCUUUUCCCCAGCCGCCAGCUCAGCAGCAGCAACACAGCUCAAUAGAGUCUUUCAUGGGCUCGACAGCGCGGAGCUCGCCCGGGACUCCUUGCAUCUUGCAGCCCCCUUCCCAUCGCAUGCUCUGCUCUCCUGGGGCAUUGCCAGGGCAGGAACAACCAUCACAGCCAACCCUGCAGCACCCAGAGACAGCACCACGCUCAGCUAUUGAAGGGUAAGCUCUGCCCUUGCCCACUGACAUUGCUCUUUAGUUAUUACAGACGAUGCUGCUGCUCGUGACACUCAUGAAACAGCUGGUCGGGCUCUACGCAACCCCCGCCACACGGCUUCAUACACCAUUCUGUGCAAAUUGGUUAUUGUCUCGCUGACCACUGCUCCUACGGCUCAAAAGCACUUGGCUCUCGGAAGGGUGGAACCCAAAGUUCUUGGCUAAGGUGAAGAACUAUUAUAUAUUAUUCAGAGUGCAUGAUUUUUAAACUGAGCUAUGCUUGAAGACUGGAAAAUUAUCGGUAAUGAAGUUUCUAGACCUCAGCAAGAUGCCGGGACUCCUGUGUGGUUGUCAGAUAAACAAGAACAUGCAGGAAGUCACAGUCAUGUCACAAACAGCAACGAGGAGCCUGUUCUGAUUACAGCACAUUUGUAAAAGGACAGUUUCUCAUUCAAGGCCCCAUUUGAAGUCCACGGAACGAAAAGCUGGCUGUCCCAGCGGAGGCUGCGAUCCAACCCGAAACACAAAUGAAACACAAGGAACCCCAGGAUGACUUUGCCGGUGGGAUCCAUAACUCGAGUUAACAUAACACAGCCAUGGCCACGUCCAUCCCAGAGCCUCGGGAGCGUUAUUCCCCACAACAGUUCUAACCUCCAAGAUAACUUGAGCUCUCUCGUCACUCAUCUGCCUUAUGAUAAGUCUACAUCCUUAUGUAUUCUCUCUGCCAAAAGGCAACUUUUAAAAUGCGAUAAAAUAAAACUGUGUACAAAUUAAACAGUCAACACAUUUUACUGCUGCUCAGUAACUAAAAUGCUUUCACUGUGCUAUGCAAUAUAUAACUGCUGAAAUUACUUUCAUGUGUGUUUAUAAGUCUUCCUAUAUUUUCUCCUCAUUACUCCAAAUACAUUUUAAAAGCUUGUUAAGAUAGAUUUGUUGGCAUUUUGUAUCUAGCUGACUGUGCAUGUUAAAGGCUUUGAGUGCGAGUUUCCCAACUUGAAACACACUAUUUUUCAUGCUGCUUGUUAAACACGUAUCAUUCCAACCAUGUACAUUAAUUGGCUUGUCUGGGGAAACAGGCCUGAGUUUAUGAAGUCUGUCACCCUGCUUUGUAGCUUAAUUAUAAAAUACAAUUAUUUUCCUUUUCCCCAGUCAGACUAUUUGCACUGGAUUAUUUUUUUCUU